GAGACAGAGUCUCAUUAAGUCAUUAAACUGCCCAGGCUGGGCUUGAGGCUUGAAUUUGAGGUCCUCCUGCCUCAGCCUCCCAGAGUGCUAGGAUUACAGGUGAGACUUUAGAGAUUAUUUUGUUAAAAAGUGAAUUGAGACAAGAGCAAUGAUCUCAUCUAUGCUUCCCAUUUGACUGACAGAUGACCUACUUCUAACAGGCAAAGAAUUUUAGAAGAGGACCAAUGAGAACAUUAGUGUCGGCACACACACUUCAAUGUGGGAUUCUUCUAGAGAACCAAUCCCUGACUGAAAUAACAGCACAAAUAUGCUGAUGUAUAUGCCUUUCUCUCUUUUCACACAGAAGAUGGGCAAACAGUAUAUGAGGCUGGUGACAGUGGUGGUGACGGGAAGGGUCACAGUGAGACUGAAAGGAGUAAGAGGAGAAAUCAGUCAUCCGGAAAACACAAGGCUGGAGAGCCUAAUCUGGAAAAAAAACAGAAAACAGAAAAUCAUUCAUUGAAAGGUAUGUAUAACUCUGUUUGUUCUUGUUUUUUUGUUGUUGUUGUUUUGUUUUGUUUUUUUUUCCCCUAAUAGCACAAAUGUAAUGAUAUUUUAGAAAACAAGUACUAUUUGAAAAUGCUUUCUCUUUCUGGAGAAAGCAUGCAUAGCUCAUUCCUGUCAUGUUCAUAUUCAAGUCUCAGAUUCUUCCUCAAUAUGUGCUUAGAGAUGAAUAUGGUAUGAAACCAGAAUUCCAUGUUGAGUUGAAUCAACAAAAACAGUUGAGCUGUAACUAGAUCCCAG
rnacentral:lncRNA from 1 species